rnacentral:rRNA from 1 species
UAGGGAAUAUUGGGCAAUGGAUGCAAGUCUGACCCAGCCAUGCCGCGUGCAGGAAGAAGGUCCUCUGGAUUGUAAACUGCUUUUGUCGGGGAAGAAUAGGUCUCUUGCGAGGGAUUGUGACGGUACCCGAUGAAUAAGCCACGGCUAACUACGUGCCAGCAGCCGCGGUAAUACGUAGGUGGCAAGCGUUGUCCGGAUUUAUUGGGUUUAAAGGGUGCGUAGGUGGUUUGCUAAGUCAGUGGUGAAAGCU